rnacentral:rRNA from 1 species
UACAGAGGGGGGCAAGCGUUGUUCGGAAUUACUGGGCGUAAAGGGCGCGUAGGCGGCCCGCUAAGUCGAACGUGAAAUCCCCGGGCUCAACCCGGGAACUGCGUCCGAUACUGGCAGGCUUGAAUCCGGGAGAGGGAUGCGGAAUUCCAGGUGUAGCGGUGAAAUGCGUAGAUAUCUGGAGGAACACCGGUGGCGAAGGCGGCAUCCUGGACCGGUAUUGACGCUGAGGCGCGAAAGCCAGGGGAGCAAACGGG